rnacentral:rRNA from 1 species
GCAUAUCAAUAAGCGGAGGAAAAGAAACCAACAGGGAUUGCCCUAGUAACGGCGAGUGAAGCGGCAACAGCUCAAAUUUGAAAUCUGGCCUCGGCCCGAGUUGUAAUUUGUAGAGGAAGCUUUUGGCGCGGCACCUUCUGAGUCCCCUGGAACGGGGCGCCAGAGAGGGUGAGAGCCCCGUAUAGUUGGAUGCCUAGCCUCUGUAAAGCUCCUUCGACGAGUCGAGUAGUUUGGGAAUGCUGCUCAAAAUGGGAGGUAAAUUUCUUCUAAAGCUAAAUACCGGCCAGAGACCGAUAGCGCACAAGUAGAGUGAUCGAAAGAUGAAAAGCACUUUGAAAAGAGGGUUAAAUAGCACGUGAAAUUGUUGAAAGGGAAGCGCUUGUGACCAGACUUGCGCCGGGCUGAUCAUCCGGUGUUCUCACCGGUGCACUCUGCCCGGCUCAGGCCAGCAUCGGUUCUCGCGGGGGGACAAAGGCCCCGGGAACGUAGCUCCUUCGGGAGUGUUAUAGCCCGGGGCGUAAUGCCCUCGCGGGGACCGAGGUUCGCGCUCUGCAAGGAUG